CCUACGGGAGGCAGCAGUGAGGAAUAUUGGUCAAUGGACGAGAGUCUGAACCAGCCAAGUCGCGUGAAGGAUGACUGCCCUAUGGGUUGUAAACUUCUUUUAUAUGGGAGUAAAAUGUUCCACGUGUGGGAUUUUGUAUGUACCAUAUGAAUAAGGCUCGGCUAACUCCGUGCCAGCAGCCGCGGUAAUACGGAGGAUCCGAGCGUUAUCCGGAUUUAUUGGGUUUAAAGGGACCGUAGGUGGAUUGUUAAGUCAGUUGUGAAAGUUUGCGGGUUAACCGUAAAAUUGCAGUUGAAACUGGCAGUCUUGAGUACAGUAGAGGUGGGCGGAAUGCGUGGUGUAGCGGUGAAAUGCGUAGAUAUCACGAAGAACUCCGAUUGCGAAGGCAGCUUACUGGACUGCAACUGACACUGAGGCUCGAAAGUGUGGGUAUCAAACAGGAUUAGAUACCCCUGUAGUC
rnacentral:rRNA from 1 species